rnacentral:SRP_RNA from 1 species
GAAGGUUGGCGGAUGGACGGAUCCCUCGCCAAUCCGGUCAGGUCCGGAAGGAAGCAGCCGUAACGAGAUCGGUCCGGGUCGUCCGUUCAGCCUUCCGC